GGAUGAAAUCCUUUGUUGUGGAUGGAGCUUGAUUCUCAUCACUUCCAUUAUACUGUAAUGGUUUCUCUUCUCAGGAAAGAAUAUGUGAAAUUAAAUUUUACGUGCUUUUGUGUUUUGAUUCAUAGUUUUUCCUAUCUUUUAUAAUAACUAUUACGAGAAGGAUUUACGGUGUCUGGGUUAGCCAGCUUCUCUGUUUUCCUUGAUUCCCAUUUGUGUUGGCAUAUUGGGUGAUUCAUUUAAGCUACAUAUUAAUCUUAGCAUAAGUUUCUCCAUGUCUAAUGUAUUGACUCUGUUUCAUUUUUCUGGGUUUCUGACAGGGAACUGUUGUUGCUGGGUUUGGUAUGGUUUCUGUUGCCCAGAAGUUUUAAUUCCGUGGAAGAUAGCUUAAUGGGUGAGGAUGAUAAAUCAUAUAUAAGCAAGGUAAAAGGAAAAGGGGCUUGGGCAGGAAGGCCAAGGAAGAUAUUUUUGGUUUUGAUUGGGAUAAUUCUAACAACAAGUGUUUCUGGACCUGUAUGCGUGGCUGAUGGAACUGUCAGUCACAAAAAGUCCUCGAAGCAUCAAAAUACAUCAGAACCCCAACCAUUGGUUAUCAGGUGUGGUAAUUUACAAUUCUGGAUAAGCAUGUCAGUGACUGGAACCAUUGUGGGAAACAGGUUGAUCCGGAAACAGCAAAAUACUUUUAGGAGAUUGCAAAUCUUUUUUAAAGGAGUGGGAUUGACUAGGAGGAGUGAUCAGUUAUUUGUGGUAAUGCUCUUGAAGAAGCUCAAGGGAAAGCAUUGAACCAGCGACUGACUAUAUUAUAAGCCAUAGUUUGCAAACUCUCCCUGAGCGCUGCAAUGCGGAUAGCCUUUGUAAUUUCCUUUGUGGCUGUGCAAAGAUCUUCCCUUUAUUUUUUAUUAAUCUUAUAACAAGGUGAUUGUUGCCAAUCCUUUUGAUAUGAUGUGUUAACUAUUAUGGAUCUCAUGUCUUUGAAGUCUUCUUUGUCUUCAUGGGGGAGUGUCAUUAGAUUCCCCUGAGUUUCAUGGAGCAAAGCCAUUAACAAUUCCGGCAGAGCGGCUUAACCUCAAUGAAACUUGGGAGGCUGGCAUCAUCAGCAGGGAUUUCCCAGUUUAUUGAAAUUUCUGUGUCAGCAAUGUUGAAUUGCAUGAAGACAUUAAAACCCUGCAAGUUGAUCAAUAUAGCAGUUUGGUUUUGCAGACGGCUUUGAAGUUAUUAGCUGGGCAAAGUCAAGAUUUAAUGCAAAUAAUUGCUAUUUUGCUUGGAUGCAAAGAAGAAAAUUUAACAGAAGAGAACUUCAUAAAUACGACAGCAGUUGUUGAAGUUGUAGAAUUGAUGAAAGAAACUGCAUACAGCCACUUAAUGGAGGUGAUCUUGGGAGUUGCUCCUGAAAGCUUGUAUAACAAAAUGUUCACUAAAGUUUUCAGGAAAUCAUUAUUUGAGCUUUCAUCCCAUCACUGUGGCAACUUUGUUAUUCAAGCAUUAGUUUCUCAUGCAAGAAAUCAAGAACAAAUGGAGAUGAUUUGGGAGGCACUUGGUCCAAAAUUUAAAGAUCUUCUUGAAAUGGGGAGGUCAGGAGUUAUUGCAUCUCUUAUUGCUGCAUGCCAAAGGCUUCAUGUCCAUGAAAAUAAGUGCUGUCAGGCCCUUACUGCAGCUGUUUGUUUACCAAAUGAGUCUCCAAGAUGCAUUGUUCCUCGGAUACUAUUUCUUGAAAGUUACUUUGCCUUUGAGGACAAGUCUAAUUGGAAGUGGCCGAGUGAUUUUAAGAUGCAUGUCAUGGGUUCUCUGAUUCUUCAAGCAAUUUUCAGAUUUCAAAGUGUAUGUUGCCUUGUCUUUAUGUUUAUUUCCUCAUCAUUUAUAUUUGUGGUAGCCCAGUCACCAUAUUGUAAACAGAUGCUAUAAACGUGGAUCAUCCAUACUGGGGAUGAUUUUUUUUAGGUGAUUUUAUGCCUGCUACAUGUGUACAUAAAUGUGUGUCUGUGUCUGUGUAGUGUGUACAUAUAGUUUGCUUUGGGUGAACAGAAGAAAUAAAAGCUAGUGAAACAAAACAUCAGUAUGAGCUUCUAUUAUUCUUUUAGUUGGCCAUCUUUCUUCUUGACUGUUGAAAGGAACUGGUAAAAAUUAUAGAUAUCCUUUGUUAUGCUGUCUAUGCAUGGUCUCCGAGCUGUUCUGUAGUUUAUUUUGUCGUUUUGGUUCCAGCUGACAAAACAUAAACAUCUAUUGGGCGCUGACUUGUCAUUAUUAUUCACUGCUAAGGCUUAAGCUGCUCUUUUCAUGUUAAACUUUGUGCCAUUAUGAGUUAUCCAUGCUCAGUAGUAGUUAUUGACUUAUAAGGCUUAAGCUGUUCUUUUUCAUGUUGCAUUUAUUGCCACAUUAAUGGCAUCUAUGGAUUUACAUAUACAACUUAUAAUACUGUCAAGAGAAAAAUUUCUUAUUAUUUAGACAUUUCAAUUCAAAAAAGUUAGGGGUUUGGAAAUUGGAAAAUAAGGAUUGGACUUCACCAUUCCAAUCAAGAUAAUGUACGUGAAAUAUAAGUGGAAGUUGCCCAUUUUCAGAGAAAAUAUCUUAUGUUCAUGGAUUUCUAUUAUAGAUACCAAGAUUUUUGGCAUAAUUUUUGAUCUUAUAGAGGUAAAAGGUCAUAUUAUUUGGACUAUCAUUUCAUUUUGAAAUAUGCAUUGUAGUGUAGCUCAAAGGCUUAUAGUGAGGCUAUUCAUGAAUUCCUGAAUCUGAAGAGAAGAUAACUCUGUGUAAACUGUAAUGAUAUGAUCUGGCAAUGUGGAAGUAAGAUACUUUAGUUCCUAUAAUUGUUUAUGUCUUAUUUAUUAUAACAUAUGAGGAAUCUCCAGAAUGUUCAAAUGAACCAGUGUCUAUAUUAAUACAUUGUGGUCUUCUAAUUCCUCACACAAGCAUUGGAUAUUCUGUUUGACUGGCAGGAGCUCAUUCAGCCUUUCAUUAACAGUCUUACAUCCAUGGAAAUUGACCAUGUCCUUCAAACCGCAAAAGAUGCUGGGGGGGCACGUGUUAUUGAAGCUUUUCUUAGUUCCAAUGCUUCUGGCAAACAGAAGCAUAGAUUAAUUAUGAAGUAUGUCUUGCUGCAAUAUUUGCUCAUUUACUUUAUUUUUGGGAAGUUUUGAUCUGUAUUCAAUUUUAGCUUUUAUUUUCUGACAAAACUAUAGUAUGGUUAUUAUAUGGAAUUGAUGAAAGUAUUAACUGGUAUUAACUGGGUAAUUAUUUGUCACUACCCAAGUCCACGUGGACCAGUGACCUGACAACUGAGCAGUGAGCAUGCUGUUCUAGUUGAUAUAAUAUUUUGUUUUUCUUUUCAGGCCAAGAAUGUUGUUCAUUUAGUAGGAGAGAGAGGGACAGUAAACAUGAGAAGCAUUCCAAUAAUUUGGGCUUUGUAUCGUGGAAGCUCUCAUAUGCAUAAAGAUCAAUCCUUCUUGAAUUGAACAUGGGACUUUAUUUGGGAACAGCUUUGAAUGUCUUUUUUUUUUUUCGUCUUUCUAAUUUGUUUCGAUUACUCUGAACUUCUGAAGGUUACGAGGACAUUUUGGAGAGCUUGCAAUGCAUUCAUCUGGUUCAUUCACCAUUGAGAAGUGCUUCACUGCCAGUAGUGUCUCACUAAGAGAGGCCAUAGCAUCAGACUUGUUAGCAGUGCAACCUGAACUAUCCAAGACAAAGCAAGGUCCCUAUCUCUUAAGGAAACUAGAUAUUGACAGGUAAGAUACUAUUUUUUAGCAUAUUGUAACUUAUCACCUAUUGUUGUUGGUUCUUGCUUGAAAUUUUAUUUCCAUCUUGCUUUUGUUCCUGGAUGCAAACACAUAGAGGGAUCCUCUCUCAUUGAGCGUGAGCAAUUAUGAUGCCACAAGUUUAAUUUCUACCCUGCACCUAUGCAGGCGUAGACAAUUUGGAAAUCAGUAUGUUACUUUGUGGCACUUUAAGAAUUCCUUGUUAGAGUUGGGUUUUGGCUAUUUACUGUUUUGUCUGAACUUUGUAUGUUAUUUGCUUUACUGCAACAGAUUUGCUAAACGGCCUGAUCAAUGGAAGUCCAUGCAAGCAUCAAAACAAUCAACGUACAAAGAAUUUUAUGCUGCGUUUGGAUCUAAUGAAAACAAGCCAUCAAGAAGUGACUCAUUUCUCGCUGAUACUUCCAAGAAUACAUCACAACCAAAAGGAAUAAAGAAAAUGAGGAAAGAGAUUGAUUAUCAUCUGACAUCUGAGAAAAACAGAAAGGGUCGUGCUGUUUCUGAGACUGUUGGAACAUCAAAGAAAGUAGUGGAAAGCACACACCAGAUACCGUUCCUAUCUACUGAUAUGAAGGGGAAGAAGCGACACAGAAAGCAUAAACCUAUAAAAGUUUCAAAAAAGAAGUUAAAAGUAUGAUGAUGCAUUGUAUCAUUUUUACUGUUAGCUUUGUAAUGCCUUACUUGAGCUUUGCAGAGCAUGCAUUUCAGGAAUGGCAAUUUGGUCACAGAUUAUCAUCACAGCACAUACCUUUCAUUGUUUUAUAGUUUUUUUUUUCCUUGCUUUUUAAGCGUCCCUAUGAUUUGUUUAUUCUAGACAUAAGAAAUUGGAAAAAAAAAAA
rnacentral:misc_RNA from 1 species